UACGUAGGGUGCAAGCGUUAAUCGGAAUUACUGGGCGUAAAGCGUGCGCAGGCGGUUUUGUAAGUCUGUCGUGAAAUCCCCGGGCUCAACCUGGGAAUUGCGAUGGAGACUGCAAGGCUAGAAUCUGGCAGAGGGGGGGUAGAAUUCCACGUGUAGCAGUGAAAUGCGUAGAGAUGUGGAGGAACACCGAUGGCGAAGGCAGCCCCCUGGGUCAAGAUUGACGCUCAUGCACGAAAGGCGUGGGGACAAAGAGG
rnacentral:rRNA from 1 species